AAACUAGAUCUCUCCCCCUCUCUUCUCCACCCCGCAUCCCCUUCCUCACGCACGCAAACGGCUUUACCCCCUCCCCCACCACGACCCCGCCGUCGCCGCCACCGCGCACCUGCCUAACUAGGAACCCACGAGCGCUACCAUCUGAAUCGUCGCGAGAUGAUGGCCUCCCGGCGGGCCAGUGGCAGCAGCACCCACGAGCGCCACCAUCCGAAUCGUUGCGAGAUGAUGGCCUCCCGGCGGGCCAGUGGCAGCAGCACCAGCAGCAGCUGCGCGCUUUGUGAGGGAUCCAACCUCCCCUCCUGCUGCGCCGCGUGCGUCAACACGAGGCUGUUUGAGUACCGCGCGACGCUGCGCCUGAGAAGGAACCUCUGUGACACCCUCCAGUUCCACAUCGCAACGCCUCGAGGCCAAGGUUGGUCCGUCGCUCUCGCUGUGCCCGUCCUCAUCCCAUCGUCAAUGAGAAGGCUAGGACUUGCUCAGCGGCUGCAGCCUCAGAGGCCUGCUCCCUCGCGUCAGAGAUCGGAUGUUGUUAGGCAGGCGCUCAAGUUGGAUGCGAUAUCGUCGGUGGAAUAGGUGUUUUUCCAUCAGGCUAUACCAAAGAGAAAACGAUGGAGGACUUUGUUGCCAUCUAUUGCAGGCGGCCACCGCGUGGGCGAAGCUUCCACGCAACCUACAUAAACUGAUUGAUGCCUUAUUUCCGGAUUGGGUCUCCUGACCACAAACCUGAAGACAUACAAGAUCAAUGAGAUGUGAUUGUUAGUAGUUGGAUUGUUGUUUCAUGAAAUUGACCAGGUUGGCGCUCAUGCUGUGGUGGUAUAUCAGCUGUUUGCAUGAUGCGCUCGCUCUCAGCACCGGGACUCCAUAAAGACCCAAAGAAAAGCAGAGCAACAAUGAACGUAUGUAUAAACCGAGCAUGUAGGGGCAGCCUGCAAGUUGCCGGUCAUAUUCAGAUUCCUCUUAAUGUCCACGGUGAGAAUAGAUAUCCUAAAUUGUUAUGAUUUUGAGUUCUAAUUACAAUUAUGAAUAUUUUGCUUUGUAGAACUGUCGAAUUACUUAAAUUAAGAAGUUGGUGGCCUUUGAAUGUGUAGAAAAGUAGCAAAGAGAUUGUUGCCGAGCUUACAAACUAAUAUGCCCAGCAUGCAUGUAUCCCAUUUACUCGUCUAGACUGUCCAAACCACUAUGCCCGGCUUAAAAACAACUAUGCCUCCCAUGUAUAGCAUGUUGGCUUUUUCAUGUCCAGAAUAAGACUGUCCAAAAUACCUAUGGUCAAUUUUAAUUUUCAACGUAUGUUUGUUUGGUACACAUUAUUUUCUAAAUAAAUGUCAAAUUUCGACAGACGAUAUAUACUUCUAACAUAGUCAAACAUGCUACCCGCAUAGCCUUUUCUUAGAUGGUAUAUGAAUAAACUUCUAAGGCAUGAAUAAUAAUUGUGGGUUCUCACUUACUAUGUAUAAUGUAAGAGAAACUUGAUAUAUCAUUAGAAAAAAUGAAAAAAAUUAUGGUCGCUAUUAAUUUUCUCGAAGUGAUUACUCCACUCCACUACAAUGCUUCUCAUAGUUUUAUAGUUCUAUGAUGCAAGCACUCUGAAGCAUGUGAUCGAAGUAAAUAUUGUGCAGUUAGAGAAAAUCUUUACAUAUUCCGGAGCAGACCGCAAGCUGCUGGUGAGAAAACACAAUUGGCACCGUAGAGCAGGCAAAGCUUCACUACAUAGUUCUGCAUAGUGAUAUGCGUUUUGCAAAGUCUUGAUGUGCGCAGAACUACUUCUAUAGUGAGCCAGCAUCUGGUGAGCCAGAGCGCGUCACGUAUUCGCACAACAUGCCAGCAUCAGUCAAGGUGGUCAUCGAUUGAUAUCGGGCUUGACGGGUACUUCCAUAAUGUUGUUGCCUGCUCUUGCUGGGUCGUUGAUCCAGGGCCCAUCUACGUGGAAGCUACUAUUUUUUCAUAGAUUGACAAGGAGGCCUUUGAUAGGAGAACAUGAACUAGAAGAGCAUGAGACAUUGCACAUGCAUGCCAAGUUUAGACAUUGCACAUUUGAAGAAAAAUUUCAGUCAAAUGUCACCAUGUUCCUUUUCGCUAUUCGGUGUUGAGAACCUACAUAAUGCACAUAACUUUAGAUAUUCAGUGUGCUGGUACUAUGUUGUCAUAGUUUUCUGUUAACCGGGCAUGUUGGUUGUCCUACUUAAUGUUCACGUUAGUCCUAACUCAUCACAUCGUUCUCGAUCUCAUGUCAUGUGUGGAGUUUUGAUCUGGAACCAUACAAAAUUA